rnacentral:lncRNA from 1 species
GUCCUCACCCGACCGCCUCUGCUGCCUCCUCUAACGCACUGAUCAGUGCGUUCCUUCCCACACCGUGAAGCUCUUUGUCUCCGGAUUGCUUCCUUACCUCUUCCUCUUGUUCUUGUCGUUGAUUUGAGCUCUUCGGUGGAGUUUCCGGCCCUGUAUUGCGGUGAUUAGGUUACGGGACUUGUGUGAACGGCUUGUGCUCGGCUUGGUCCUCAGUGAGCUGGUUUGGUUUCCCAUUGCUUUAGGCUUCGUGUAUGUGUUUUACAACUGUGGGCGUCAGAGCUGUCGCGGUUGCGUUAGACGUUGGAGAUUAUGGUUUGGUUGCAGAGGAAAAAAAAAUUCUGAAGCUCAGUGGCUGUCUUUGAGGUGUAGCGGUUACUGGAUUUGUCGCUUGCCUUGUCCGGUUAGGUUUGCUGUUUGUGCUGAUCGCGGAGAGUGUUGGAUUUCUGUUCUGGAUUGCCUAAAACAGUUGUCGGGGUUGGCUUCUGUCUGCAGUAGUAGUGCUGAAGCAGGAUCUUGUACGGCUAUUUCGGUAUUUGAGGAUGUCAGUGAUACAGGAUCGGAUUUUUGCGAGAGUAGAGUCUGCCUCCACUAUCAGAUUCGCAGGUUUUUCGAAUGUAAAGAAGAGUGCUGAUUGUUUAUAUUCUUCCGCUCAUGAAAACCAUGUCCGUGCUCAAACACGCAGUCGUGCUGUUGGGCACAAUUCACCGAGUUUUUCUUCCAGGUCUAUCGAAACCGCAGUUUUUGUAGUGUGACACAAUGAGUUUUGCAUGUAGUAAUCGUCCUUCACAGGAUGCGGCCCUGUUUGGGUCGAAUCUUUACCCUUAUUUUGUUGUUUUCCUAAGGGCGUGUUGUAUUUUCUGGCAAUUAGAAUCGUUGAAGUGAGUAUGGUUCGUCUGCGCCAUAUCUCUCUCUACGCAUAGACAGUCGUUUUCCGCGCCUUCUCAGAGAUCUUUAUGGCUACUGAUUCAGAACGUCAUGUAGCUAACAUUUCAGUUUGAGAUCUUCUUCUCACACUUUUAAGUUGACCUGGUCUGUGCAGUAGUAUGGCAGGUUCUGCUCCCGAAGGUUCCCAGUUCGAUGCACGCCAAUAUGACGCCAAGAUGGAGAACAUGUAAGAAAGAGUGAUAACCGCCUGCACUGAUUACCCUCGCCUUUUCAUUAUUUUGUGAUGUGUUUUCACUUCAGUUGCUGUGAAUCCACUUGAAAUGAUUCGUGAUGAAGGGAUCUCUCAUCAACAUUUAUCUUGUUUCUUCUCAGCUUGUCGGCCGAGGGCGAGGACUUCAUUUCGACGUGGGAGGAGGUUCACGACACUUUUGAUGUGAUGGGUCUACAUGAGAACCUUCUGAGAGGAAUUUACGCCUAUGGUAGUAUAUUCGUUCCAUUUUUGUGUUUGUCGUACUUCAGAACGGUGCUCUCGUACUCUCUAUUUAUACUUCAUUUACUAUAAUUGCCACUAACCCUUGUGCUUGCAUGUUUUGUGGGUGCUUGUGGUGUUCGUAGUUUCCUACCGAGAACCAAUUGAACCGCACUCUGCUGCUCUAAUCUCAUUCUGGUUGACCUGUACAGGUUUUGAGAAGCCAUCUGCUAUCCAACAGCGUGGAAUCGUUCCCUUCACCAAGGGUCUUGAUGUCAUUCAACAAGCCCAGUCUGGAACUGGCAAGACAGCUACUUUUUGCUCUGGUAUUCUCCAACAAUUGGAUUAUCAGCUUCUUGAGUGCCAAGCUCUGGUUUUGGCACCCACUCGGGAACUUGCCCAGCAGAUUGAGAAGGUUAUGCGCGCGUUAGGUGACUAUCUCCAGGUUAAGGUACAUGCCUGUGUCGGAGGUACCAGUGUCAGGGAGGAUCAGCGAAUUUUGCAAGCUGGUGUUCACGUUGUUGUUGGAACUCCUGGCCGUGUGUACGACAUGUUGCGAAGAAACGCACUCCGUGCUGAUUCAAUCAAGUGCUUCGUGCUGGACGAGGCCGAUGAGAUGCUUUCGAGGGGAUUCAAGGAUCAGGUUUGUUCGGAGAGUCCUGGAAUGGUAGAAGAAAUUUGUUUUUACUCCCAAGAAAACUAAUUGUUUGUGUGACUAUUUCAGUUCUCUAAUUAUCCUCCUUAUAAGCUAUGAGAGAUAUUGCUCAACGCUAACGAAAUUGAUUCGGGCAUCUUCUGCAGAUUUAUGACAUCUUCCAGCUUCUUCCACAGAAGCUUCAAGUGGGUGUGUUUUCUGCCACAAUGCCACCCGAAGCGCUUGAGAUCACCAGGAAGUUCAUGAACAAGCCAGUGAAGAUCUUGGUCAAGAGAGACGAACUGACUCUGGAGGGUAUCAAGCAGUUUUACGUGAAUGUAGACAGGGAGGAGUGGAAAUUAGACACACUAUGUGAUCUUUAUGAAACCCUGGCCAUUACGCAGAGUGUUAUUUUCAUUAACACCCGCCGAAAGGUCGACUGGCUUACCGAUAAGAUGCGAGGUACUUCUUUACGUUUUGACUCAUACAAUCUUUGGCGAGUUACCACGAAGCUUGGUUGUUUAUUUAAGUUUAGCAGAUAACUGAAUUUGAUGUUCUCAAUGUUCUGUGACCAGCUCGCGACCACACCGUCUCUGCAACACACGGAGAUAUGGACCAAAACACCCGUGACAUCAUCAUGCGUGAGUUCCGUUCAGGGUCAUCCCGAGUGCUCAUUACCACCGAUCUCCUGGCUCGUGGUAUCGACGUUCAACAGGUUUCUCUGGUCAUCAAUUACGAUCUGCCUACCCAGCCUGAGAACUAUCUCCACCGUAUUGGACGAAGUGGGCGUUUUGGACGUAAGGGUGUAGCUAUCAACUUCGUCACAAGGGAUGACGAUCGCAUGCUUCAGGAUAUUCAAAAGUUCUACAACACCGUGAUCGAGGAGUUGCCUUCCAAUGUUGCAGAUCUUUUAUGAGUUGUGGAUAGUGUCUCCUUUAGCACCAGGAAGAGGGAGUGUUUUAUAGAUGUUUCGGUGCCCUUCUAAGUGCUGGUCGGGGAAGUAUCAGUGCGGGGUGGAAUGGAAGGCUAGCUUGCCGGUUUAAAUGAUUAUUUGAGGGCAGGUAUUUUAGAAGGGUCAGGUCUCUGCACGAGCCAGCACUGGUUGGAAGUGUAUUGAUCAUAUCGGGAGGACUGGAAGUUCUUAGGCAGUAACUAAGAAAGUUUUUGCUACAUCUUGCGUGUUCU